GUAGGGAAUUUUCCGCAAUGGGCGCAAGCCUGACGGAGCAACGCCGCGUGAGUGAGGACGGCUUUCGGGUUGUAAAACUCUGUUCUCCGGGAAGAAUGGCGAGAGGGUGAAUAAUCCUCUCGCGUGACGGUACCGGAGAAGAAAGCCCCGGCUAACUACGUGCCAGCAGCCGCGGUAAUACGUAGGGGGCAAGCGUUGUCCGGAAUUAUUGGGCGUAAAGGGCGCGCAGGCGGCCUGUUAAGUCUGGUGUGAAAGACCACGGCUCAACCGUGGGGUGGCAUCAGAAACUGGCGGGCUUGAGUGCAGGAGAGGAGAGUGGAAUUCCCGGUGUAGCGGUGGAAUGCGUAGAGAUCGGGAGGAACACCAGUGGCGAAGGCGGCUCUCUGGCCUGCAACUGACGCUGAGGCGCGAAAGCGUGGGGAGCGAACAGGAUUAGAUACCCUAGUAGUCC
rnacentral:rRNA from 1 species